CACGUAGGGGGCAAGCGUUGUCCGGAUUUAUUGGGCGUAAAGAGCUCGUAGGUGGUUCGGUAAGUCGGGUGUGAAAACUCUGGGCUCAACUCAGAGACGCCACCCGAUACUGCUGUGACUUGAGUCUGGUAGGGGAGUGUGGAAUUCCCAGUGUAGCGGUGAAAUGCGCAGAUAUCGGGAGGAACACCAAUGGCGAAGGCAGCUCACUGGGACGGCACUGACGCUGAGACGCGAAAGCGUGGGGAGCAAACAGG
rnacentral:rRNA from 1 species